UUGCAAUCCCUUCAUGAAGUCAUCGUCGGAAAGCGGACAGAACCACGGCAAACAAACGAGAGACGGGUAAACAAGCGCACCUGUUCACCCCUUGAGCGACAGGGGACUGAUGGUCCCCGAGGAUCGAGCGAGCUGGAAAACAAACAACUGAUUCAUUCUCUCUGCAAAGAGAGGAACGGCGAGCUACCUCACAGCUAUGAAGUGAUCCAGCAACAAGAAAACAUUAAGCCCUGGCCUGCGAUCCUCUGAAGCAAUACCCGGAGAGGACAUCACAAGAAUCAACAAGAAUAGGCCCCAGCUCUCAGUGACCCUGAACAUGAUGAGCGGACAGAAUAAGAAAAGGAUGGCCGGAAAAUAAACUUUAGAAUAUGGCUAAAGAAUCAGACGUGCUUUCAUCUCCUUUCCACAUGAACAAUCUGUGAGCAGAGGCAAUUUGGGAGAAGGGCGCACUGCAGGCGGCUCUGUGUUUGGACGUCUACUUCCACAGCUCUCAGCUUUCACUCAUGCUCGGCUUACCGCCCAACUCGGCAGGGCUCCACUCUGGACUAGACUCAGCCCUUGUACUAAGGGCAUAUUGUGGCAUCUCUCAAACACUGACACUUAGCAAAAGCUCAUGUACGAUAGCAUAAAUAUUGAGAAAGUAAAAUUGCAUAGUCAAUUUCUUGAACAAAAUCUUAACCCCUCUCAUUCA